UACGUAGGGGGCAAGCGUUGUCCGGAAUCAUUGGGCGUAAAGAGCGUGUAGGCGGCUCGGUAAGUCCGCUGUAAAAGUCCAGGGCUCAACCCUGGAAAGCCGGUGGAAACUGUCGAGCUAGAGUCCGGAAGAGGCGAGUGGAAUUCCUGGUGUAGCGGUGAAAUGCGCAGAUAUCAGAAGGAACACCAAUGGCGAAGGCAGCUCGCUGGGACGGUACUGACGCUGAGACGCGAAAGCGUGGGGAGCAAACGGG
rnacentral:rRNA from 1 species